ensembl:lncRNA HOTAIRM1 HOXA transcript antisense RNA, myeloid-specific 1
GACACCCCCAGGUUCCCGGAAGUCUGGCAGCCUAGGCGGCGGCAGCUGCUGCGGCGACUGCAAAGGCCGAUUUGGAGUGCUGGAGCGAAGAAGAGCAAAAGCUGCGUUCUGCGCGCGCCCGACUCCGCUGCCCGCCCCGCCAGGCCUCCGGGAGGUGGGGGCU